rnacentral:rRNA from 1 species
UACGUAGGGGGCAAGCGUUGUCCGGAUUUAUUGGGCGUAAAGAGCGUGUAGGCGGCUUGGUAGGUCCGCUGUGAAAACUCGAGGCUCAACCUCGAGAUGUCGGCGGAAACCACUUGGCUAGAGUCCGGAAGAGGAGAGUGGAAUUCCCGGUGUAGCGGUGAAAUGCGCAGAUAUCGGGAAAGAACACCUAUGGCGGAAGGCAGCUCUCUGGGACGGUAC